rnacentral:rRNA from 1 species
GAUGAACGCUAGCGACAGGCUUAACACAUGCAAGUCGAGGGGUAACGAUAGAGAAAGCUUGCUUUUUCUAGGCGUCGACCGGCGCACGGGUGAGUAACGCGUAUCCAACCUGCCCAUCACUUGGGGAUAACCUUGCGAAAGUAAGACUAAUACCCAAUGAUAUCUCUAGAAGACAUCUGAAAGAGAUUAAAGAUUUAUCGGUGAUGGAUGGGGAUGCGUCUGAUUAGCUUGUUGGCGGGGUAACGGCCCACCAAGGCGACGAUCAGUAGGGGUUCUGAGAGGAAGGUCCCCCACAUUGGAACUGAGACACGGUCCAAACUCCUACGGGAGGCAGCAGUGAGGAAUAUUGGUCAAUGGACGAGAGUCUGAACCAGCCAAGUAGCGUGCAGGAUGACGGCCCUAUGGGUUGUAAACUGCUUUAUAAGGGAAUAAAGUGAGUCUCGUGAGACUUUUUGCAUGUACCUUAUGAAUAAGGACCGGCUAAUUCCGUGCCAGCAGCCG